rnacentral:lncRNA from 1 species
UCCAUAUGCCCAUAUGCCAAAAGUGUGGCCAUUCAAAAAAAAAAAUCUAAUCUUAUUGUGAUCUCUCAAUUCUGUCUUUCGUCUUUUUUGUUGUUGUUGUUGUUGUUAUUGUUGCUAUUUCUUGGGCCGCUCCCGUGGCAUAUGGAGGUUCCCAGGCUAGGGGUUGAAUCGGAGCUGUAGCCACCGGCCUACGCCAGAGCCACAGCAACGCGGGAUCCGAGCCGCGUCUGCAACCUACACCACAGCUCACGGCAACGCCGGAUCGUUAACCCACUGAGCAAGGGCAGGGACCGAACCCACAACCUCAUGGUUCCUAGUCAGAUUCGUUAACCACUGCGCCACGACGGGAACUCCUGAUCUCUCAGUUCUGUAUGUAUUCUAUCACCAACUUGUACCCAAGGAUUUUCAGAUCCUCUACAGCCAGUGCUCCAUGCUUGUGUCACCCUGAUGUAUCUCUGUAGUCAUUCUUCCUGCAGCCAAAUGUGGGGAGGGGAGGGUCAGUCUUGCUGUAUGGAAUGCUGGCUUUUCCUGCCUUUUUCCUGUCUCUAUUUCCUUUGCCCCCAUCACAGCUCUUGAGGGAGUGAGCUGUGCCUGCCAGCUCAUUGCCCUUCUUUACCCACAUAGGAGAUAGCCAGUCUGAAACUCUGAACCACAAGUUCUAGGUCAGCUUGCUGAUUUCUACUUUUAAAGGCUUGGGGACAGGGCAGAACCUUUGACAGCCUUUGCCUUCCAAUUUACUCCUCCUCCUCCUCUCCCCUCUACUCUCUGUUUCCCCAUUGUGUAGUGACCUAUAUUUUUCUCCAUGAAACAUGUGUCUGUCAAUUCCAGGGCAGGUCUGGGAGCCAGCACACACAAUAAAUCCUGUGACCAGGCACCUGGGCAGGUGACACAUGCCAGCAGCCUAGAGCUGAUAACACAGCCAGCUCUUCUGGGGAGUGGGUUCUUCUCAUGGCCUCGGCAGCAUGCACGGCCGGCUGAGAGCACCACUCACAGACCGCUAUGUGUGUGAGUCCUAACAGAAUAGGAAGGGAGGACACCUUUUGAAGGCUCACAUUUUUCACAGCUCAGUAAUCACAGGGAGCUUGUCAUUCCCCCAGGGUGGGAGGCAUGUGUUUAAUUUAUACACCCCGGCCGGCUGGUUUGGGAAUUCAUGUUGGCUCUCAGCGUGCCUUCUGGAGAUCAGAGGACCAGAUGGGUGCCACCCAGUGGGCACAGUCAAGUGGGCCUGGGCCCGCUCAUGUGCAGCACACAGAGAGGUCCUCAUGAGCUUCUCACCACCAGCACUCCCAUUUUCCUAGUAAGUAGUUUAGCCUCCUACACCUGAGUUCCUGAUGUGUCAAAGGAAGAUGACGAAAGUAACUACUUGGCAGGACUUGGUAAGUAUUCAAGGAGGUAAGCCACAAGAAAGAGCCCAGAGCCUACCACCUAAUAAGGACAGAAUAAAUGUGAGCGAUUUUUUUGCUGGCAUUAUCAUUUUCUGUCAUUUAUCGAUGAGGUCUAGAAAAAUUCACCAAGCUGCCUCAAGUCACAGGCGCAGUAACAAUUCAAGCCAGGAUUGGAACCCAAGCCUAGACUCUUAGCCACUGUGCUUUGUACUAUGUAAAGUAUAGCCUGUGCUAUAGAAAAUGUCUUUCUUUCUUUUUUUUUAAAAUAAAGUAUAGUUUAUUUCCAAUGUUGUGCCAAUUUCUGCUGUAAAUCAAAGUGACCCAGUCAGAAAUACAUAUAUAUCUUUCUUAUAUUAAUAGAAAAGUUGAUGAUGAAUCUAUGAAUCCCUCAAUGACCAGGAUCAUGUAUUUUUUUUUAAUUGACGUGUACCUGAUUUACAAGAUUGUGUCAGUUUCAGGUAUACGAUAUAGUGAUUCAGUAUUUUUGCACAUUAUGUUCCAUUACAGGUAAUUCUAAGAGAAUGGAUAUAAUUCCCUGUACUAUACAGUUUAUAUUUGUUGCUUAUCUAUUCUACCUAUAGUAGUUUGUAUCUGUCAACCCCAUAUACCCCUAAUUUGUCCCUUCCCCCUUUCCUUCUCCCAUUUUGGUCAUCACAGUUUUGUUUUCUCCAUCUGUGAGUCUAUUUCUGUUCUGCAUACACAGUCCUUUGUAUUAUUUUUUAGAUUUCAUAUAUAAGUGAUAUCUUAAGUAUUUGUCUUUGACUUAACUUGGUUUAGUAUGAUAAUCUCCAAGUCUAUCUGUGUUGCUGCAAAUGGCAUUAUUCCAUCCUUUUAAUGACUAAAUAUUCCAUUGUGUAUAUGUACCACAUCUUCUUUAUCCAUUCAUCUGUUCAUGGACACUUAGGUUGCUUUCAGGUCUUGGCUUUUGUAAAUAGUGUUGCUAUAACUAUUGAGUUGCAUGUGUCUUUUCAAAUUAGAGUCUUACAUAUAUCUUUUCCAGAUAUAUAAUCAGAGGUGGAAUUGCUGGAUCAUACAGUGGUUCUCUUUUUAGAGGCACCGCCAUACACUUUUCCAUAGUGGCUACACAGAAUUUUUCAUUUUCAUCUUUGCAUCCCCAUUGCCUAUCACAUAGUAGGAGCUCAUACUGAUUCAAUGAAUGGCUGAAUCAGGAAGGAAGCAUGUUCUGGAGGAACAAAUCAGGUUAAUUAAGUCAGGAAAGGAUAUGGAAAUGUAGGGGGCCAUAGAGCCUAUUACUUGGUUAUGUAGUUACUAGCACCAGUAUAUGACUGACUCAGAAAGUACCCACAUGGUUACCCUAAUGCUAAACCAACCUAAUUUUGAAUCUGAGGACUACUGUGCUUCCUAGGCUAGGAAUUAUCUGGUCCUAAACCUGCCUCAGCCAUACACAAAGCUGACUGAGGCCAAGCACAAAGUAGAGAUUGGGGCCAAAAUUCAGAUAUGUGUAAUUUCAAAACAUGAAUUCAGAAUCUCCUCAAAUUCUAAAACCGCUAGCUUAAUGCUUUUUUUUUUUUUUUUUAAAAAAGCCAUCCAGGACACCUUAAGAUGCACAUUGAGGUUUUUUCUUUCUUUCUUCUGAAGACAAUUGUCUUAUGUGUCAUUUUAAUUGAUAAUUAUAGAAAAUUUGGAAAACAUUCCAGAAUAUGAAACAGUUGACCAAUCUAAAUCCCCAAAUUCUAAAAUAACUGCUAAACCUAUUUGGCUGUAUUUCUUUCUAUAAAACAAUGGCUUUUUAGCUAGAGCUCAUUGAGCAGUUACAACUUUUUGGUUUCUACAGAUCUGGUGAAGCCUUCAAGAUUUCUUUUGGAAGAAAAUAAAUUUUAGACUUCUAUAAAAGAUACAGUGGGAAAGGGAAAUAAAUUGGGAGUUGGUGUUUAAAAUAUAAACACUCCUGGCAUUUCCACUGUGGCUUGGUGGAAUUAAGAACCUGACAUAGUGUCCAUGAGGAUGCAGGUUCGAGCCUUGGCCUUGCCCAGUGGGUUAAGGAUCUGGCAUUGCUGCAUAGGUUACAGAUGCAACUUGGAUCUGGCAUUGCUGCGGCUGUGGCAUAGGCCAGCAGCUGCAGCUCCAACUCUACCUCUAGGCUGGGAAAUUCCAUAUGCCACAGUAGUGGCCCUGAAAAGAAAAAAAAGAAAAAAGAUAUGCAUACUUCUAUAUAUAAAGUAGAUAAACAUCAAGGAUCUACUAUAUAGCAUAGCAUAGGGAACUGUACUCAAUAUCUUGUAAAAACCUAUGAUGGAAAAGAACCUUAAAAAGAAUAUGCGUGUGUGUGUGUGUGUGUGUGUGUGUGUGUGUGUGUGUGUAUAACUGAUUCAUUUUACUGUAUACUUAAAACUAAUACAACAUUGUAAAUUAACUAUACCCCAUUUUUUAAAAAUCUCAAAAAAAAAAAAUAGAUGUGAUGGAGUAAGGGGAAAGACCCUCAAUAGGAAGUCAGGUGACCUUGCCAUCAUCUCCAGGUCUGACCUCCGCUUGGCAUUCACCUUGCAGAUUUCAGUUAUCCUUGCUUCUCCCACCUUAUAUCCGUCUUUCUUUCUCAACAACCUGCCCUGUAGACUUUAGGUUUCUAUACCAGAUACAGAAACAGCAGCCUUACAUAGACUAUUGAGCCAGCUCUUCUCAUUGCCAAAGGUCAAAUUCUUAUAAUAAAUCCCUGAUAAUAUACAUCUUCUGAAGGUUCAGAGCAAACCCUGACUGAUGAAGCAAGAAUGAUGGCUAUCAUAUGCAUAGUCUCACGCAUACAAACUUACUACUCAAAGAAUCUUUAUGACUCAGAUGAUCCUCGUAUAGGUCUCACGAUUAUUGUCUGCCCUCCUUUCUCCAGGAACAUAGACUCCCUAGGGGCAGGGUUGUUGAGAAGCCCCAAAGCACGUGGUUGUAUUGGUUUCCUGGGGUGGCCAAAACAAAAUACCACAAACUGGGUGGCAUAGAACAAUGGAAAUCUAUUCUCGCACAGUUCUGGAAGCUGAAAGUUUAAAAUCAAGCUGUUGGAGGAUAUUUCCUUGCCUCUUCCAGCUUCUGGCAAUCUCAGGUAUCCCUUAACUGUGGCAGCAUAACUCCAGUCUCUACCUGUGUCAUCAAAUGGCAGUCUCUCUGAGUUUCUGUGUCUUCACAUGACCAUUUUCCCUCUGUAUCUCUUCUUUAAGGACACUAGUCAUAUUGCAUUAAGAGCCCACUCCUCUUCAGUAUGACUUCUGCUUACCUAAUCAUAUAUGCAGUGACUCUGCAUCUAAAUAAGGUCUCAUUUUGAGAUGCUAGGGGUUAGGACUUCAAUAUAUCUUUUUGGGAGGACACAAUUUAGUCCAUAGAAGUAGUAGUGAUUGUUAAUUUUAUGCGACAACUUGGUCUGGCCACGGUGCUCAGAUAUUCGGUCAAACAUUAUUUGGGAUGUUUCUGUGGGAGUAUUUCUCAGAUAAGAUUAACAUUUAAAUUGGCGGACUUUUAGUAAAAUACUUUGUUCUUCAUAAUGUGGGUGGGCCUCAUCUAAUCAGCUGAAGAUCUUACUAGAACAAAGACUGACCUCCCACAAGCAAGAAGGAAUUCUCCCAACAGACUACUUUUGGACUUGAACCACAACUCUUCACUGUGUCUCUAGCCUGCUGGUCUACCCUGCAAGUUUCAGACUGUCAUCUACAAUCAUGUGCGUCACUUCCUUAAAAUCUUUCUGUCUGUCUGUCUCUCUAUAUAUACACUUAUGCAUCCUUUUGGUUCUAUUUCUCUGGAGAAUCCUGACAAAUAAGACAGUCAAGAACAUGAAUUCUGGAGUCAUACAGUUGGAAUUAUAUCUCUCUUUGUUACACAGUUAAUGUGCCUGUGUCACCUUGCAACUUCUCUGAGCCUCUCUGUUUCCUCAUCUUUAGAUUGGAAAUAAUCUUAGAAGAUACUUCACAGAAUGUUGAGGAGAUUAAGUGGAGUUAAUGUAUCUAAAACACUGAGAAUCAUUCCUGGUCCAUAAUAAGCACUGUUAGCUGCCUGGUCAGGGUUCUAUCUCCAAUAUAUAAAACUGGAAGUACACGUAAUAGGAGAUGAAUAAGUAUUUGUUGACUAACCACACUCCCACUAAUGCUCUUCAUUACAUUUCAGGCCAAAGAUGUUGAGCUCUAAAAGUCUUGGACAUCUCCAAUUCCUCAGUCCUAUCACACAAUCAGUUUCCAACACAAGCAGGUGAUUGUAGAGUGAUAUCUAAUUUUAGGCACACGUAAUAGGACUACUUGGACAACCUAAGUUCUGCUCAAAUGUCCCACCUAGAUUUGUGCCGUAUUCUCUCCUUCUGUCCUCUCACCUGUCCCUUGCAGUAGUUAAUAUAAUAUCCAAAAUGACAACCACAUGGUAUUGGUGGUAACAUAAUGGGUUUAGAUAGAUCCUUGCAUCUAGAAACUAAAGGGAAACAGGGUAGAUCUCCUUUCCCCACAAUACUAUUAACCGUGGUUUGUAAACUCUUUCAGAAAGUUCCCCAUUGGCCAGAAACUGUGUGGCUCUAAUUCCACUCCAUGCGUAUUCAACAGUGAAAACUAAACCAAUAAACGAUUACUAAAGCUGCUUAAUGCCAACCUGAAGGUGAAAGGUUAACCCUUCUAGCUGUGUUUCUACAGAACUUUAGCUCCAUAGUGUUUCAGAGCUAAUGAGAGCUUAAGGGAAAAAAUCAAUGGAAUGAGGAAGUAGUCAAACAGUCAGGUAGCCCCAAUCGGAUAACUUAUCUCCAUGGGAGGCUUGGUUAGAAAGCCACAUAUGAGUUUCUAAUUAAAGGAAUAUUAGCAGAAUACAUCCAUAAAUCGCAGAACCAGGCUUAAUUUUCUUGUUUGAAAACUGCCAGGGAAGAGAGCAGAUUGCAAAUAUAUGAAAUAUGACAAAAUGAGACUUAAUGAAUUCUAAGUUUAUUCACUGAAGUAUUUAACUAUCCAAGCCAUCAAGUGGGGAUAAUAAAUUUGAGUGUGUCAUAAGACUGGCCCACUUUAAUUCACAUUUAUAAAAUGAGCUAUAAAUAAAGGGCCUGAUUCAGUGCUUAAUUUUUAGAGAUACAUUAACUCAUAAUUCCCAUGCCUCUAUGAUGCCAAGCACUGAAAGGAAAUAAAAGAGCUUUCAGUUGAUCAGAAGAGAGGUAACCAUCCUGAUGUUUGGACCGCAGGGCAGAGGACUUGGCUUUGGUGAUUCAGCAUCUCUCAUCAGGAUCCUCACCUCUUCCUUUGUCACAAAAAUCAAGUUGAAACCUGAGUUAAGGAGUUCCUGUCAUGGUGCAGCAGAAACAAAUCCACCUAGUGUCCAUGAAGGUGCGGGUUCAAUCCCUGGCCUUGCUCAGUGGGUAAAGGAUCCAGCAUUGCCGUGAGCUGUGGUGUAGGUCGCAGACGUGUUUUGGAUCUGACAUGGCUAUGGCUGUGGUGUAGGCCAGCAUCUGUAGUUCUGAUUUGACCCCUAGCCUGUGAACCUCCAUAUGCAGCAGGUGCAACCCUAAAAAAGCAAAAACAAAAACAAAAAACAAAAA